rnacentral:rRNA from 1 species
GACAGAGGCCUCAAGCGUUAGGCGGAAUCACUGGGCUUAAAGCGUGUGUAGGCGGAUCGUUAAGUGUCUUGUGAAAUCCCACGGCUCACCCGUGGAACUGGCUGGGCAUACUGGCGAUCUUGGGCCAACUAGGGGCAACUGGAACAAGCGGUGGAGCGGUGAAAUGCGUAGAUAUCGCUUGGAACGCCAAAAGGUGAAAACAGGGUUGCUGGGGGUUGUGCCGAC